AUGACUUUGAUCUGCGUCCUCAUCUGGACUCUCCUCUGCUGCUGCUUCACAGAGUCCAGAGGUCAGGUCACAGUGACUCAGCCUUCAGCAGUAAAUACCGGCUUUGGAGGCUCGGCCACCAUCAGCUGUAAAACCAGUCAAGCUGUAUACUAUGAUGGAUCAGACUAUUAUUUAGCAUGGUACCAAAAGAAGAACACAGAACCUCCUAAAAUGCUCAUUUACUGGAGAAAUCGCAGAGCAUCAGGGAUUCCAAAUCGUUUCACAGGAAGUGGAUCAAACUCAGACUUCACUCUGACCAUCAGUGGAGUUCAGGCUGAAGAUGCUGGAGUUUAUUACUGUCAGAGUUAUCAUAACAUAAACAGUCAGAGGGUGUUCACACAGUGA